UACGAAGGGGGCUAGCGUUGUUCGGAAUUACUGGGCGUAAAGCGUAUGCAGGCGGAUCGUUAAGUCGGGGGGUGAAAUCCCGAGGCUCAACCUCGGGAACUGCCUCUGAUACUGGGGGAUCUUUGAGUCCGGAAGAGGUAAGUGGAACUGCGAGUGUAGAGGUGAAAUUCGUAGAUAUUCGCAAGAACACCAGUGGCGAAGGCGGCUUACUGGUCCGGUACUGACGCUGAGGUGCGAAAAGCGUGGGGGAGCAAACAGG
rnacentral:rRNA from 1 species